AUUCCCCUUCUCUCCUCCCGCUCGAGGCCGUCAAAAUCAUCCCCGGAUGCCCGCCCACGGCCGCCAAAAUCAUCUCCAGAUCCCCUCCUUCCAUCACCUCGCCGCCGCUAAAUUUCCUUGCUUUUCUUUGAUCUGUCCCGCUCUCCUCCCCGGCUUGCCCUCCCCGAACGCAAUCGCCAUGGCCGCGUCUGUCCGCUGUGGUGAAUCCGCCGCGGAGCGCCUGCUGAAUCCAUGGAGUCGCCACCUGUGCUGACUUCGGUGCGCCGCCGGCACUCAAUCCUUCACGGCGCCCCGGCAUGCUGAACCUGCGCCGCCGCCUGUGCUGGUUCCGACGCGUCGCCUCCGCUGAACCAAUCGUGGCGCCCUUGGUUUGGUGGCCCGUCGUCAUAUCCGCCCAUGUCCUUAUGCUAUCCUAUGUCAUUUACCACCAACCUGCUCGAUGUGCUCGUCGCCACCGGCACCGCGGACAUAGCAGCUUGCAGCCAGGUCCGUGCUGCAGCAGGGAGGGAAAGACCUGCUCCCCGUAUCGUCGGCAGCUCCAGCUCGACAUGGAUUGAGGUCUUCUUGUAUAGUUCUACACUGGCAUUGCUAUGUUCAGUUGAAGAUCAUUGCAAACAUUAGCUCAUGGGUAGGAACAUCAUUGCGAAUAUUACCUUGCUUCAGCUUUUCUCUAGAUAGCUUAAGAAAAAGAGCAACAUAUGGAGUUCCAGAACCAGUUUUUUCA